CGGUUGAUCCUGCCGGAGGCUACUGCUAUUGGGAUUCGACUAAGCCAUGCGAGUCAAGGUGUCUUCGGACGCCGGCAUACGGCUCAGUAACACGUAGGUAACCUACCCUCAGGACUGAGAUAACCCCGGGAAACUGGGGCUAAUAUUAGAUAGAUAAAAGAUACUGGAAUGUUCUUUUAUCCAAAGCUUUUGCGCCUGAGGAUGGGCCUGCGUCCGAUUAGGUUGUUGGUGGGGUAAUGGCCCACCAAGCCUACGAUCGGUACGGGCAGUGGGAGCUGAAGCCCGGAGUUGGGGACUGAGACAAGGCCCCAGGCCCUACGGGGCGCAGCAGGCGCGAAACCUCUGCAAUGCGGGAAACCGUGACAGGGGGAUCCCAAGUGCUCAUGCAUUGCAUGGGCUGUUCUUUGGUCUAAGUAACCAGAGGAGUAAGAGCUGGGCAAGACCGGUGCCAGCCGCCGCGGUAAUACCGGCAGCUCAAGUGGUAGCCGCGAUUAUUGGGCCUAAAACGUUCGUAGCCGGAUAAGUAAGUCUUUGGUUAAAUCCUGCGACUUAACCGUGGGAAAUCUAGAGAUACUGCUUGUCUUGAGACCGGGAGAGGUUGGAGGUACUCCUAGGGUAGGGGUGAAAUCCUGUAAUCCUAGGGGGACCACCUGUGGCGAAGGCGUCCAACUGGAACGGGUCUGACGGUGAGGGACGAAACCUAGGGGAGCGAGCCGGAUUAGAUACCCGGGUAGUCCUAGGCGUAAAUGAUGCGAGUUAAGUGUGGGGGCAUCUACGAGAUGGCCCUGUGCUGCAGGGUAGCCGUUAAACUCGCUGCCUGGGGAGUACGGUCGCAAGGCUGAAACUUAAAGGAAUUGGCGGGGGAGCACCACAAGAGGUGGAGGCUGCGGUUCAAUUGGAUUCAAC
rnacentral:rRNA from 1 species